rnacentral:rRNA from 1 species
GCAAGUCGAACGAGAACGGGGAUAGCUUGCUAUAGUUGUCAGCUAAGUGGCGCACGGGUGAGUAAUGUAUAGAUAACAUGCCCUAGAGAAGGAAAUAACAGAUGGAAACGUCUGCUAAUGUCCUAUAUGCCUUUAAGACUUAAGUCUGCAAGGGAAACAUUUAUGGCUCUAGGAUUGGUCUGUAUGGUAUCAGCUAGUUGGUAAGGUAAUGGCUUACCAAGGCAAUGACACCUAACUGGUUUGAGAGGAUGAUC